CGUAGGCAGCGAGCGUUGUUCGGAGUUACUGGGCGUAAAGCGUGCGUAGGCGGUCUUGUAAGUCUGGUGUGAAAUCUCCCGGCUCAACUGGGAGGGUGCGCCGGAAACUGCAAGGCUGGAGUAUGGGAGAGGUAGGCGGAAUUCCUGGUGUAGCGGUGAAAUGCGUAGAUAUCAGGAGGAACACCUGUGGUGUAGACGGCUUACUGGACCAUGACUGACGCUGAGGCACGAAAGCGUGGGGAGCAAACAGGAUUAGAUACCCUGGUAGUCCACGCCCUAAACGAUGCAUACUUGGUGUGGGUAAUUUAUUUUAUCUGUGCCGGAGCUAACGCGUUAAGUAUGCCGCCUGGGGAGUACGGUCGCAAGGCCG
rnacentral:rRNA from 1 species